rnacentral:lncRNA from 10 species
UCUUAAACACAUCUCUUGACCGGGGUGUUCUCACCAUGCCCUUUCUACAAACAAAAAGUCCUACAAGAGUUGGAGCCAUCCUCUCCUCAUCUUCUACUUUCUGCCUUCUUCUGGGACACGCUAUUGAUCACGAAGUAUCUUAUCCUUGAAAAAUCUCCUCUCUUCAACUCGAGUACUACUGCAGAAAGCAGCAACUUGGCGGCCUUUUAUGGAUGGGUGUUACUGAAAAUGAAGAUGUGGAGACCUGGAGACAGGUGGCACCUCGUGCUUCCUCCGAAGGGAGAGCCCAUUUCCUAACAGCUGGAUCAAAGGCAUGAAAUGAACAUGGAGUCCCUGAAGAUGAAGAGAAGGCAUGGCUUCCAGGGAGAAAUUGUACAUUACAGGAAUGCAGAUGUGAUUCCUAUGGAUGAGGGUAACCUAGAGGCUAGAAGAACAAUAGGACAGAAGAAGCCUGGGUCCCUGAACAACCUUGUGGAGCAUAGACACCUACGUGGCCUGGACUGCCAGCUCACAAUGGGCCUCUCUGUGAGAGAAGGAAACUUCCCUCUUGUUUAAGCAACUGUGCUUUUGAGAAUCUCUUGGUCUAUACCCUAAUGAAUAAGGCCAUCAUAA